GCCCCACCCCCCUCCUCCUCAUCCACCUCACAUUUCCCAGCAGAGCUGUCACAGCUGACGAAAUGCAGUUCUUCGUGGAGAUGAGCUCUGGCAACCAGGACAUGCGCUUGGAAACUUUAUUAGAUGCCGAAGUCAAGAAGCCAGGAGAUGGCAGUUGCCACUCUUCACACUACAGCAAGACCAUUCAGGCAGUAUUUUCCUCUUGGCCUCGUCAGCAGAUGGCGGUAUUGCCCUGAAGGCUGGAUUAGCAUCACCAUUGCCUGCAGGCAGA